UUCGCAAUGCCCGAAAGGGUGACGAAGCGACGCCGCGUGGGUGAGGAAGGCCUUCGGGUUGUAAAGCCCUGUCAGGAGUUAAGAAAUGUAGACUCGCUAAUAUCGGGUCUAUUUGACAAAGGCUCCAAAGGAAGCCACGGCUAACUCUGUGCCAGCAGCCGCGGUAAUACAGAGGUGGCAAGCGUUGUUCGGAAUUAUUGGGCGUAAAGAGCACGUAGGUGGAUUUGUAAGUCAGACGUGAAAGCCUUCUGUUCAACGGAAGAAUUGCAUCUGAAACUACAAACCUUGAGUGUAGGAGGGGAGAAUGGAACUUCUGGUGGAGCGGUGAAAUGCGUAGGUAUCAGAAGGAACGCCGGCGGCGAAAGCGAUUCUCUGGCCUAUUACUGACACUCAGUGUGCGAAAGCUAGGGGAGCAAACGGGAUUAGAUACCCCGGUAGUCCUAGCCGUAAACGAUGGGCACUAAGUAGAGGGGUUUU
rnacentral:rRNA from 1 species